rnacentral:rRNA from 1 species
UACGGGGGGGCAAGCGUUGUUCGGAAUUACUGGGCGUAAAGGGCUCGUAGGCGGCCAACUAAGUCAGACGUGAAAUCCCUCGGCUUAACCGGGGAACUGCGUCUGAUACUGGAUGGCUGGAGUUUGGGAGAGGGAUGCGGAAUUCCAGGUGUAGCGGUGAAAUGCGUAGAUAUCUGGAGGAACACCGGUGGCGAAGGCGGCAUCCUGGACCGAUACUGACGCUGAGGAGCGAAAGCCAGGGGAGCAAAGCGGG